CCACGUAGUUAAAGAUGUCAAUCUGGAU
rnacentral:sRNA from 1 species